UUCAACAUGGAGUGGAGACUCCAUAACGUACACAAAGAGGAAUGAUCAAAGCCGAUGAUCGUAAGCUAUGUCCUCCAUCACGAUCUCGGAUGAAACUAUCCAUGGAAUGAUCUAAUAUUUCUCUUCUAAACUCAUCACCAUUUCAUAUCAUGCUUACGUGUCAAAGAUACGAGGUGUCAAUGUUUUAACCCAUGUUACCAAAUGCUACCUCCUCUUAGAAUUUAUCUUAUUCGGUCCUUUCUCUGAUAAAAUGUUAGCUGACUCGGUUAUUGCCCUUUCUCUUAUACCAUCGCAUCUGAAAAUCACGGUGGUAGGAACCAUCGUUUCCGUCGACGGAACGCCCUCCUCAGUCGUCGCGCCUUGUCGUUUCCUUCCUCCGCCGAUGCCAGUCCCUCCUGCCUCACCGUCAUCUUCUCCUAGUGACGCCUACAACACAUGGCCUUCCACACAGCGCCUUCAGCUCUUCCUCGUUCAAAAAAGAAGUUGACUGAUUAAGGUUAAUUUUUCGAUCUCCACUAGCGCCUUCCUUAUCCAUCUACCAGCGCUUCCUCCGUCAUUUAAGUCGGCCAUCCCUGCAACUCCGACCGGUAAGAUUAAUUUUUUUUUUCUGAUACGUGAUGUGAAGAAUGAAGAAGUUUAUUUGAAUGCUCUUUUACAAAGUUUCAUGACGAUGAAACUGGCAAUUGGCAGCCAAUCGGAUGGAAUGAUAAUUGCUCAUAGAAGUUAUCGGAUUCUGAGAUUUCUGGGGAAAGUAAAGGCCCAAAAAGGCAGAAAGGAAGCACAAAGACAUUGGAGGGAGAUCAUAACCAAUUUACCAAAACUGAUGUUCAUGCUAGUGUGUGAUUCUUUAUUCCUUGUGUAUGUAGAUUGUGAAUUUAAUUAUCAUAUAAUCAAUUGUUUGGACUUGGGAGAGCCAAUUAUCCCUCUUUAAUUCAAAUUGUAUUCAUUGUU